rnacentral:lncRNA from 1 species
AAGAAAAAUUUGUUCAGCAUAUGAGUGGUAGAUACGACCAAAGCUACAUCUCUCAGCAAGUCAGUGCUCCAGCUUAAGCAACAAGAAAAAAAAAAGCUCUAUAUAGAACUGUGACAAACAUAGUUACUGCAUGGAACUAAGAAAAUGAUGUUUGUAGCGUGUAGAAGCUAGAAAAGAAAGAUGAAAUCAAUUUAAACUUUUUCAAAACCAAUAGCUAGACUGAGACUGUUCAGUCCUGAAUAUAUAUGUGUACAUAUGUGUAUGUACACAUAUAUACAAACAUUGGGUUCUCAUUUUGUUUUGGAAAGGUGAAGCUGGUCACCCCCAGAGUUAAUGGGAAAAUAUGUGGGAUUAGAAAUUGUGCCCCAGUAUUCUGGGACUCCUGCCCAAGCCACAGUGAUGGCUUUUCCCCUCUUAUGAUUGCUGCUGUACUGAAAUUUACCAUCAGUCAGCCAUAGAACAGAGCAACUCCCAAGGUUCCAGCUACUACAGUGACUCAUUUGGUGUGUCAUCAUUCCCUGGAGAAUGGAGGUACCACAUCAAAUCAUGGCCCAUCCUAAAGUCUAGUGCCACUGAAAUUUACAGCCACAGAACUGAAUUAAUCAAGAGGAACAACAACAACAAGAGUUCUCUUCCAAAAUGAUAGUUAAAGGACUGCUAAUGAUCAGCAAAUAGCCAAAGGCAGAGGAGUCAAUCCAAGAUCUCUUCGGUUCUUUCCUAAUCAGAACACAGAUUUACAAAGAUGACACAACUGUCCGGAGGUCACACUGAAAUUAUAGACAGAGCUGGAGUUCUGAUUUCUGAAAGUCCUAUUCUCAGUCACUAUGCUAAAUGAGCCUCUAAGGUUCUAUGCUUGUUUUCUUCUUUUAUCAUUUGUCCAAUCAGGAUAGGUUAUUUUGUUGAAAUUUUGUGAGGGAAAAAAAAUUUAUUUUAUUUGGUGGAACGGUUUUUAAUUGGAGAUGGGAGUGGUCUCAGCCCUUUAAAAAUAAAAGAAUGAGGUGAGGGCAAGAAGGGGGUUGUUAUAGGAGAAGGGCCCUAGGCUGGAGGUACAGAGCAAGGUCAAGGGGACCCUGACAGCUGCAGAGUGAAUAGCAUCUUUGCAGUCUAUGAGCUUACAGAUAGAGAAGAUGCAAUUUAGGGUAGGAGAGGUGGUUUUUAUUUCUUAAAAAGUAGUCUUUCUUGGACAGGGACAUACCAGGGAUACAACAGCCCUUUUAAUCCGGAAGAACGAGGGGCUGAAGGAAAUAAAAAGUAAGCCUGAACCAGACCAGAGAAUUAAAAUGGUAUGCGUUUAAGUUUGGUUUAUUUAAAUAUUUGCUCUAAGAAUAUGAAGUUGCCUAUAAAUAGAAAAAAGAUAACAGAAUGGCUGUUUUCUU